UACGGGGGGGGCAAGCGUUGUUCGGAAUUACUGGGCGUAAAGGGCUCGUAGGCGGCCAACUAAGUCAGACGUGAAAUCCCUCGGCUUAACCGGGGAACUGCGUCUGAUACUGGAUGGCUUGAGUUCGGGAGAGGGAUGCGGAAUUCCAGGUGUAGCGGUGAAAUGCGUAGAUAUCGGGAGGAACACCGGUGGCGAAGGCGGCCUUCUGGACGGAUACUGACGCUGAGACGCGAAAGCGUGGGGAGCAAACAGG
rnacentral:rRNA from 1 species